CAGAGUUUGUGGGUUUGGACUUUCAAAGUGAACUCAGACCUUUUGGCAUUUGUGUUCUCUUUGUGGUGGACAAAAUGCAAACUUCUAUUUGAAAAGGGGGAAAGAAAGCGGUCUAAAUGGCUUUAAGGUUUUUGAACAUCAAAUAGGUCUUACCAAAGAACAGUACAAUCACUGAAGUGUGUCUGAAUCAAAAAAUACAUGGAUUUGACAGCAAUCUGAUUUAGAAAAUAUCCAGAGCCAUUUCGUGGUUAUCAUGGUUCCAAGUUAAACAGAAAGCUCCGUCUUGCCUUCUUCUCCCCAUUAAUUAAUUCCUGACUGGGUAUUCCUGCUCUUCCAAGGGCAUGCCAGUGGACACACAUUGUGGAGCUUCACCAUUUAGGAAAUACUGUUGGUACUUUCAGCCUGGAAGUUUCACAAUGGGCAAAGGAGGAAGCCAUAGACUUCUCAAAAACCACUAUGAAAUCUGCCUACGAGCUGACCUGAGGUUUUUACAGUGAGUAUGAGGUUUUACAAGGCAAAAGUGAAAUAAAACUUGUUUGUUUGUUUAUCGAACCAGUACAUGCAUUUUUCAAACAAUCUGGGUUUGGCAUCACCCACAACACAUCUAGCCAAACACUUUUUCUCCUUAAUCUUUAUAACCAAAGAAAUUUUCAGGGAAAUUUAAUACACAUGUUUCUGAUUCGUUCCAUAUUCAGUAAUAUUUCAGUAAAAGGUAUUUGAUUUCAAGAACUUUGGAAAAGAUUCAUCAUUGGCAGUUCUUAUGACUGCAGGUAAGUCAGUGUAAAUAAUAGGGAAGCUCAAGGAGGUAGACUCAGGCAUAGAAAGACUCACCCAAAAUGCAACUGGACAAACAAUCCUAAGGGGACAAACGUUUUCAUCAAGGUUCUGGGAAGUUGGAGUAGCCUGUUUUGAUUUCAAAUUCCCAGUG
rnacentral:lncRNA from 1 species